rnacentral:rRNA from 1 species
GAUGAACGCUGGCGGCGUGCCUAAUACAUGCAAGUCGAGCGAACAGACGAGGAGCUUGCUCCUCUGACGUUAGCGGCGGACGGGUGAGUAACACGUGGAUAACCUACCUAUAAGACUGGGAUAACUUCGGGAAACCGGAGCUAAUACCGGAUAAUAUAUUGAACCGCAUGGUUCAAUAGUGAAAGACGGUUUUGCUGUCACUUAUAGAUGGAUCCGCGCCGCAUUAGCUAGUUGGUAAGGUAACGGCUUACCAAGGCAACGAUGCGUAGCCGACUUGAGAGGGGGAUCGGCCACACUGGAACUGAGACACGGUCCAGACUCCUACGGGAGGCAGCAGUAGGGAAUCUUCCGCAAUGGGCGGAAGCCUGGCGGAGCAACGCGGCGUGAGUGAUGAAGGUCUUCGGAUCGUAAAACUCUGUUAUUAGGGAAGAACAAAUGUGUAAGUAACUAUGCACGUCUUGACGGUACCUAAUCAGAAAGCCACGGCUAACUACGUG